rnacentral:rRNA from 1 species
UACGUAGGGUGCGAGCGUUGUCCGGAAUUAUUGGGCGUAAAGAGCUCGUAGGCGGUUUGUUGCGUCUAUCGUGAAAACCUGCAGCUUAACUGUGGGCUUGCGGUGGAUACGGGCAGACUUGAGUUCGGUAGGGGAGACUGGAAUUCCUGGUGUAGCGGUGAAAUGCGCAGAUAUCAGGAGGAACACCGGUGGCGAAGGCGGGUCUCUGGGCCGUAACUGACGCUGAGGAGCGAAAGCGUGGGGAGCGAACAGG